UACGUAGGGGCAAGCGUUGUCCGGAAUUAUUGGGCGUAAGAGCGCGUAGGCGGUCCGAUAAGUCGGCUGUGAAAGUCAGGGCUCACCCUGAAGCCGGCCGAUACUGUCGGACUAGAGUCCGGAAGAGGCGAGUGGAACCUGCGAGUGUAGAGGUGAAAUUCGUAGAUAUUCGCAAGAACACCAGUGGCGAAGGCGGCCUCACUGGCCCGGACUGACGC
rnacentral:rRNA from 1 species